AAGUCCUAGAGAAGGAUAUGAAACCAUGUUUCAGCUUUCCUGCCCAGUGAAGCCUGUCUUAGCAUCUCCUUUGUCAUCCAUGGCUCACUAUAGAUGUUUUCUUAAGGAUCCCAUCUAUUACUAUCAGGAUAAAAACUAAUACUAUAAUAAAUUGUAUUCUCUAAGGUUCAAACUUUGUGGGACUUCCUAUAAUCUAGUCCACAAUUACUUAUCUUCUGGGCCCCAGUACACCAUAUAAAAACAAACAAAGUAUCAUUGAUUUGAAGUAAAUGAUACCCAAGGUCUCUUUUGCUCUAGCACUGACAAAUUGAUUGGACCCUGGAGUGUUAUCCUGCCCAUUAAACAAAGAUCUUCUAGAAGAUAAUGUUCUUACUUUUUUUCCCCCUAACCCAGCAGAGUGACCUAAUAGUGAGGAAUUCAUACUGAGGUGAAAAAUGGUGUUUAUAGAAGAUGGACAUCAGUAUCACUUGUGUGCCUGGGCAGUGUCCAUGUUGUAGGGAUAAUAAUAUACCUAUUCACAGGGUUAUUUCUUUUUGUUCUACAAAAGGAAAUAUCUGGGAAAUUAAGAGCUGCAUCAUUGUCUAGGGUGGUAUUUCAGAAUAACAAUUACAAGUAAACCAGAACCUCUCAAUAUUUGUCAGCCCAGUUCAAGUUACUUGAGAAUUACAUUGCAUGUUUUUUUUUUACAGCUCAGCUUUUUAGGGACAAAGGCUUGGUUUUCUCACAAUUAGAGAUGUCCUUUUAUGUCACAAGAUAUAAAGAAAUACAGGUUAAUAUUGUAAAAGGCCAACUAAUUCCCAGUUUUAAGAAUAGAUACUGGGUAUAACCAGCAAUGUAGGUUCACAAGAACUUUGAAUCCUUUGCAAUUUCUUGUUGGAACAACUCCUUCCUGAUUUAUGUGAUUAGUAAGUGCCUGAAGCCAUGCUGAGAAAAGAAGGAUUUCUGUCUGGGCUCUCCUCUAUCAAGUUCUCCACCAAGAAAGAAGAGCAGGUUCUGACAAAGACUACACUUGAAAUGGUAUGACUGCUUUCUUUUAUCAGAGCAGUGAGUCAAUGGCUCCUCCUAACUUGUGGGUUUUACGAUUCUAUAAUUCUUUGAUUUUAGAAGCACUUUGUUCGGAUGAGAUAACUUGUCUCUAUAAGGUCUAACAUUACUCUGGUCAAAAAGACCAAAAAGAAAAAAAGGACAAGGCUGAAUUAUUAUAGAAUCUAUAAAGAUAUGGUCUCCACUUUAGGGCAUAGAAGCAGCUGGGCUUUAACAGUGUGACUAGGUGCAGGGCGCCCUUCCCCUGUUUCCAGAGUCAUUCCUGGGACUCUGACCCAGGAGCAGGCAAUGGAGUUAAAGCUGAGCCAUAAGACACACCACCGCUUCUGACACAACACUCAGACGGACACACACUCGUCUGUCUUUUUGGUCUCUUGGUUUUUUAGUAAACAAAAUGAAACCACUUCAUUUACUCCAACACUGCUUUGCUUUCCCACACUGCUGAAUUUUUCAGAAACACAUAUAAAGAUACACAGUGAUUUCUUCCUUACAACUAGGUUGCCCUGGACUUCCCUGGUGGUCCAGUGGUUGAGAAUCUGCCUGCCAGUGCAGGGGACAUGGGUUUGAUACCUGGUCUGGGAAGAUUCCACAUGCCACGGGGCAGCUGGGCCUGUGACACAACUACUGAGCCCAAGCUCUAGAGCCUGUGCUCCACAACAGAAGCAGCCACCACAAUGAGAAACCUGUGUAGCGCAACUAGAGAGAGAGCCCGUUUUCAUCAUGAAGGUCCAGCACGGCCAACACACACACACACACAAACUAGAUUGCCCUUCAAAAAAGAGGAGACAAAGAGUAAAUCUGACUUUUUUUCAGAAUGGGGCAGUAAUCCGUUUUUAUACUUUUGAUGCCAAUAGGAAUAUCUGAAAAACGUUUUAACCCUAGCACUUUAAGAAAAUGAUUAGAUGUCAGUUAUCAUCAGUCCACUUGGGCUGUGGUCCAUUAAAACAGACCUGUUCACUACUUAGGGUAUACCUAUAACAAUCAUCUCAGCAUUAUUUCUGAAUUAGCUCUAUGGCUACUCCCAAACCGUCAAUCUAUUGUUAAAGUGGGUUUCUAUUUUCCCCACAGCAUUCUAAAUGAUAUGUACGCAUGUCAUGGGGUAGAGGCUUAGAAAUUUGUUUCACAAUCUUAAAGAAAUUUGUCUUAGUAUAACUAUCAUUCUAAAGACUCUCAACAAUAGAGCCAAAAGCCAAAGGGCCUUAGAUAUGGAAUCACAGAAGCCAAGAAGUGGAGGGCCCACUGGGGAUCAUCUAGUCCACCCGUCAUUUUAUAGAUGAACUUCUCUCAGUAGGUGACAUGUAUGUUUUCACCAAAAUACUCAUUAUUAAAAUGAACACUAUCUUGCACCUUGCUUCCCCCGCCCACCCCCCCAACCCCACCAAUGUUAUGGAUGUUCCUACAAGUCACAGAUGUAGACCUACCUCUAUCUUUUUUCCCCAACAGUUUUAGACAUAUAUACAUACAGCAACACAAAUGGGAUCACAUGUUUUAGUUUUUUCAAAACAGCUGCAUAAUAUUCCAACAUGUUCUACCAUUUCCUUAUCAAAGGAAAUUUACUUUGUUUACAGUUUUGUUGAUUUUCUCACUCUGAACAAUAAGUCAACAAACAUCUUUGUGCACAUAUCCUUAUACACUGAAGUUUUAUUUCUUCAGGACAGAUUGCCAACAGGGGAAGUACUGGGUAGACCAUUAAAUUUUUAUUUUCACAGUCACCGCCACAUUGUUUUCCAAAAGGCUAAAACACUUAUAUUUCUAUUGAAAAUAUAGCUAACUAGCCUUCUCCCUCCAACCAACAGGCAUUCUUAGCCUCAGAAGAAUAAAGUGAUGUCAUUGUUACUUCAGUCUAGAGGAGUUCUUUAUAUAUUCUGGAUACAAAUCCCUUAUCAGAUAAAUGAUCUGCAACCAAAACUCCCCUCUUGAGACAUCACCAGUGAGCCUACCCUUACCUUGUGACAAGCUGCAAGUCACGGACUUGGAUUUUGUUAGAUGAGUUAUUAAUUUUCUGUAGUAUUAGAAAAAGAAAAACAAUUAGCAACUCUAGUUCAGUCACAGAGUUGCAGAAACAUGACAAUUUUCAUGUCAUGAGUGGUUUACCUGCUGAAGUUCCUUAAUUUCUUGUGAAGUGAAAUGUACUCUAUGAGGAUUCACCAGCUCAAUUGCAAAGGGCCUUCCUGGCAGCACACACCCCGUCAUGAAACAGAAACGUGUUGAUGGAGUUAACAUUUGGGCUAAUGCAAGAGGGUUGGGAGGUGUGAAAAAACGAGUUGAGCUCUACAGGACGGAAAGUUCAGUGACAUGACUACAUCUGGUGGAGGGAAGAAUGUGUGAAAAGAAUCAAGGGGCUUUUGGGGGGCUGCUAAACCCCAGUACAGGCAAUAUGUGAAAAUGACUGCUUUCCCAAAAGUCCAUGAACAAGCCUGUAUUAAUUUACAAAAUCAUGUCCAAACAGCCACUAAUUGACUUGGUUACACUAAUGUAACGUUGUCACGUGCAGCAAUGCCCAGGUAUACCAAGUUGAAAUACAUUCUCCUAGCCUAGUGAAAUGAAAAGCUGAGAUUCCAUGAGAAGAAGGGACUAUAAAUCUAGAAUAGUUCAGGAUUACUCUCAUCAUCUUUCUUGUAAUGCAAUAAUAUAAAAUGAGAAAAAUGAAGGCUAAGAGAGCAGGAACAUCUUUUCAGUGAAGAUGUGCACUUUGAAAACUGUACUGGUACUGAAAUGUUAUUAAAAGGAACAAUGAAUAAUCAGACUUUUGGAAAAAAUCAAGUACCUGUUUGUUAAUGCACAACUGUAAAAGUCCCUUAUAACCUAUAGGUAUGCAAUAAAGAUGGCUUCUGAAGAAAUGA